UCUACGGGGGGCAGCAGUGAGGAAUAUUGGUCAAUGGACGAGAGUCUGAACCAGCCAAGUAGCGUGAAGGAUGACUGCCCUAUGGGUUGUAAACUUCUUUUAUAUGGGAAUAAAAUGUUCCACGUGUGGGAUUUUGUAUGUACCAUAUGAAUAAGGAACGGCUAACUCCGUGCCAGCAGCCGCGGUAAUACGGAGGAUCCGAGCGUUAUCCGGAUUUAUUGGGUUUAAAGGGAGCGUAGGUGGAUUGUUAAGUCAGUUGUGAAAGUUUGCGGCUCAAACGUAAGAUUGCAGUUGAAACUGGCAGUCUUGAGUACAGUAGAGGUGGGCGGAAUGCGUGGUGUAGCGGGGAAAUGCUUAGAUAUCACGAAGAACUCCGAUUGCGAAGGCAGCUUACUAAACUGCCACUGACAUUGAUGCUCGAAAGUGUGGGUAUCAAACAGGAUUAGAUACCCCUGUAGUC
rnacentral:rRNA from 1 species